CCCACACCUGGGACAAUGAGCAGGAACCCAGGGAAUGUGACUUCACUGGACGCAGUAUAAAGAUCUUCAGAUGUCCUCCUGCCGGGGAUUGCAGGGAUCACAGAAAGACCAUCGAGGUCCAGGAGCUACCUGCAAGCGGAGAUCCCUCUGGACGCCCCGUGCCUCACCCAGCAAAGCCGGCUCACAACCCUGCGCUCUCAAACCUCUAAAAGGGCUUGAGGUGCCAAUAGGAAAG
rnacentral:lncRNA from 1 species